rnacentral:rRNA from 1 species
UACGUAGGGUGCAAGCGUUAAUCGGAAUUACUGGGCGUAAAGCGUGCGCAGGCGGCUAUGCAAGACAGAUGUGAAAUCCCCGGGCUCAACCUGGGAACUGCAUUUGUGACUGCAUGGCUAGAGUUCGGUAGAGGGGGAUGGAAUUCCGCGUGUAGCAGUGAAUGCGUAGAUAUGCGGAGGAACACCGAUGGCGAAGGCAAUCCCCUGGACCUGUACUGACGCUCAUGCACGAAAGCGUGGGGAGCAAACAGG